AUGUGUCUCUAAAAGAACCAUUUGGAUUUCACCCGCACACUUAAGGUACAGUGCGGGUGAUUUGAAUGCUCCAGCCCUCACGCUGGAUAUCUCCUCCCAUAUUACUCCGGCUACCUGGAGGAGGAUCCGCCAUUUUCUCGCUUCACUUGUAUGCGACAGCCUGACCGCAACCAUGUGCAACCCGAAAGCCAAGCACUCCUGCUCUGUCGUCGGAUGCACGGACACUCAUGUUUCCCUACAUUGCCUCCCUACCAAAGAGGAUAUCAGAGCGAAGUAGCUAAAUUUUAUUUUUCAGGGAAACGCCCCAGCUUCACUGAGCAAAAGCGUUGUUGUCUGUGCCAAUCACUUCACACCGGACUGUUUCAGCAACCAGGGUCAGUAUCAGGCUGGACUGGCAACGAGAUUGUUCCUCAAAGAUGGAUCAAUACCCACUGUCCGUGUCAACGCCACAGAAGAAGAAACUCCAAACACAUCUGUACAGCAGUCUGUAGUGCAUCAUGUUGCCUGCCAGACAGACCAACCAGUGAAAUGCACGGCUGGCACACAGCUUUCCAUAACUCUCCAGCCUCACUUCAGAAGCACAGACUCUACCUGGCUGCCCUGCAUUACAAUGAAAAUACUGACUGACCACAGGCAACAUCUACAGGUGGAGAGCUUCUGUACAGUCAACUUCCCCAAAUCUAAGCAUGGAAAAUGAACUGCAAAGCCUGUGAAAGCAGAGCCAACAUUCCACUACAUUGAUGCACUGUUGGACCUGAUCUUCAAGAAGGUUUUCCAAGACCCUGGCUCAUAUGUGAACGAGGUGCUGAAACUUACAAUCCCUGAAGACCUCUCGGCUCAGUAUGAAAGACCCAACAAGCUGGACGUUAUAGC